GACGGAGGGUGCAAGCGUUGUUCGGAUUGACUGGGCGUAAAGGGCGGUGUAGGCGGUUGGUCAAGUCUGAUGUGAAAGCCCGGGGCUCAGCCCCGGAAGGGCAUCGGAAACUAGCCAGCUGGAGCGCGAUAGAGGAGGGUGGAAUUCCUGGUGUAGCGGUGAAAUGCGUAGAUAUCAGGAGGAACACCGGCGGCGAAGGCGGCCCUCUGGAUCGUUGCUGACGCUGAGACGCGAAAGCGUGGGGAGCAAACAGG
rnacentral:rRNA from 1 species